CACGUAGGGGGCAAGCGUUGUCCGGAUUUAUUGGGCGUAAAGAGCUCGUAGGUGGCUCGGUAAGUCGGGUGUGAAAUUUCGAGGCUCAACCUCGAAACGCCACCUGAUACUGCUGUGGCUUGAGUCCGGUAGGGGAGCGUGGAAUUCCUGGUGUAGCGGUGAAAUGCGCAGAUAUCAGGAAGAACACCCGUGGCGAAAGCGGCUCUCUGGGACGGUACUGACGCUGAGACGCGAAAGCGUGGGGAGCGAACAGG
rnacentral:rRNA from 1 species